UCGGGUGUGGUGGACGGAACACCGCGCGCCUUCUUCACUGAGGAAAACUAGUAGCGUCAGCGCGCAGCCCGGGGUUCGACUCCCCGCGCCCGAA